rnacentral:rRNA from 1 species
UACAGAGACUGCAAGCGUUAUUCGGAAUCACUGGGCUUAAAGGGCGCGUAGGCGGGCGCGAAAGUCAGGGGUGAAAGCCCACGGCUCAACCGUGGAAGUGCCUCUGAUACUUCGCAUCUCGAGGGAGGUAGGGGCGUGCGGAACUUCCGGUGGAGCGGUGAAAUGCGUAGAUAUCGGAAGGAACGUCGGUGGCGAAAGCGGCGCGCUGGACCUCUUCUGACGCUGAGGCGCGAAAGCCAGGGGAGCGAACGGG